CAGUCGCCACGGUAAUACAGAGGGUGCGAGCGUUAAUCGGAUUUACUGGGCGUAAAGCGUGCGUAGGCGGCUUUUUAAGUCGGAUGUGAAAUCCCUGAGCUUAACUUAGGAAUUGCAUUCGAUACUGGGAAGCUAGAGUAUGGGAGAGGAUGGUAGAAUUCCAGGUGUAGCGGUGAAAUGCGUAGAGAUCUGGGGGAAUACCGAUGGCGAAGGCAGCCAUCUGGCCUAAUACUGACGCUGAGGUACGAAAGCAUGGGGAGCAAACAGGAUUAGAUACCCGCGUAGUCCCUGUCUCUUAUAC
rnacentral:rRNA from 1 species